GACGAACGCUGGCGGCGUGCUUAACACAUGCAAGUCGAACGGAAAGGCCUCUUUCGGGGGGUACUCGAGUGGCGAACGGGUGAGUAACACGUGAGUAACCUGCCCUUGACUUUGGGAUAACUUCAGGAAACUGGGGCUAAUACCGGAUAGGAGCUCCUGCUGCAUGGUGGGGGUUGGAAAGUUUCGGCGGUUGGGGAUGGACUCGCGGCUUAUCCGCUUGUUGGUGGGGUAGUGGCUUACCAAGGCGUUGACGGGUAGCCGGCCUGAGAGGGUGAGCGGCCACAUUGGGACUGAGAUACGGCACAGACGCCGACGGGAGGCAGCAGUGGGGAAUAUUGCACAAUGGGUGGAAGCCUGAUGCAGCAACGCCGUGUGCGGGAUGACGGCCUUCGGGUUGUAAACCGCUUUCGCUCAUGACGAAGCUUUGUGUGACGGUAGUGGGUAAAGAAGCACCGGCUAACUACGUG
rnacentral:rRNA from 1 species